CCACGCCCCUGCGCCGGGUCCGCGACGCUUGGGUACUCCGAGAUUUUUCUCCGCCCGAGUUGGUUUCGUUCACUCUGCCCGCCAUGCCGUUCCUAGAGCUGGACACGAAUUUACCCGCCAACCGAGUGCCCGCGGGGCUGGAGAAACGGCUCUGCGCCGCCGCUGCCUCCAUCUUGGGCAAACCUGCGGACCGCGUGAACGUGACGAUGCGGCCGGGCCUGGCCAUGGUGCUGCACGGGUCCACCGAGCCCUGCGCGCAGCUGUCCGUCUCCUCUAUCGGCGUCGUGGGCACCGCCGAGGACAACCGCAGCCACAGCGCUCACUUCUUUGAGUUUCUCACCAAGGAGCUAGCUCUGGACCAGGACCGAGUUAAAAUUUUCCUCUUGGGUAAAAGAUAUUCUUGAGCCACGUCCAUGCCUCUGAGGAAGUAAGGGCAUGAGGAGCUUGAAAGGACACUGGCCAGGAUAGUUAUCCGCUUUUUUCCCCUGGAGCCCUGGCAGAUUGGCAAGAAAGGGACGGUCAUGACUUUUUUAUGAUUGGCAUGGAGGGAUCCAGCAUGGAGGGAUCCAGGGCAUCUCUGAGCUGGCUGCCCCUUCCAGGGAGACCUCUUGGCAGAGUGAGGGCCUGGUGAUACCAGCUUCGGAUAAUCCUGCAUGCAGCAUUCCUGUGAUCACAUAAUCCUCUUCUUCAUCUUUAUACGAAAUAAAUGAAGAGAGCUUCCUUGUUCAAA